UGAGGUAAGCCCUGACUUAAAUCUCCUCCACCUGCUUCCAUGAUUCCACCUUCAUUUGUUAAGAAAAACAAUGCAUAAUUCUAUUUCAGUUUGUCUCCACGAGAAUCAAUAGCAACACAGCAGCCACCCAACAGUUUGAACAUAUCCAAGGUCAAGCACGAGAUUAAUAAUCAAUCAAGGAGCUACUGUACCGCAAGAGUUGCUGUCAGGUUGAGCAGUGGCUGAUGAAGAUGAAGUGAAGAGCGGAGCUUUUGUCAAAAGUUAAAUGAAUGAACUCUUGGAUACAUGUCUUCAUACAUGUAAUCA